rnacentral:lncRNA from 1 species
GCAAAAUCUGAGAAGAGGAUGUAUUCUUAGCCGCAGGAAGAGAAUGGUCUUAAUCUGAAUGGUUAAUCAUGUCACGUGAAGAGAAAUACAUACUCACGCUGGAGGGGGAACUGCAGGGGCAGCAUGUACUGUUGGGAUCUUCUCACUGCUGCCAGAACCAAUGCUAGAUGGCUGCUACCAGGAUGUCUGGGGACCCUGAGGUACAGAUUGGACUUGCCAGGAACUGUAAGUGCUGUUUCGGCCAAGCCUGCUCAGAGUGAUAUGCUGCCAGGCAAGCAUGUGAGCUAUUCAUGGCUACAACAACAAGAUGGAUAAGCCCACUAUUAUUGUCUGUACAGAAAGUGAAGGGCAAGGAAUGUCUACUUGCAGAAGAAAAUGCGGGAAUGUUGUUGGAUUUUUUUCCCCAAGUUGGAUUCAGUGCAUAUCGUUUGGCUAAAGCUCAAUACAGACUAUGCAGAAAGCUGCUGUAUUCAUCCACUACCUUGCUGGAGCCUGGAUUUUCAUAGCAGCCUGCUGCCAGCACUGCUGAGGAGCAGGAUAUUUACUCAGUAUAUUACUUUUAUGCUUGU